rnacentral:tRNA from 1 species
UGGCUCAGAGGUUAAGAGCACUUGGUUGCUCUUCUAGAGAACCUGGGUUCAAUUCCCAG